rnacentral:lncRNA from 1 species
CUGGCUCCUCAACAUAGGACAAUUCAUUGUCCAACUGGACUGAAGUUAACUCCAACACGUGAGACGGGUCACCAUGAUACCUCUGAAGCAUAAAAAACGUGAAAUACUGGAUGAACCCCAGCUAAACUGGGAGGUAAAGCAAGCUCAUAAGAAACCUUCCCAACCUGCUUCAAAAUCUCAAAUGGACCAAUGUACCUCAGGCUCAACUUUUCU